ensembl:lncRNA
CCCUGCUGUGAGGCCGGGGCCGGCCGUAUCGCACGGAAAAUGGCAGCAUGUUCUAACAGUGAAGUCCAUUCACCCAUUAACUGCUGUGGAAAUGCUCUGAGAGAUACAAUGGGCUGCUGAAGAAAAGGAAUGGAUCUCCUGUUCAUUUGCUGCUUAAGAGCCCCAGUAAUGAACAGUGCACCCUUUUUGUUCCUGGCAUUCCUCCCAGUUUAAUGGGUGCCAUUUACCAAAACACUGAUUCGUUUAUCUGAAUAUGAAAAUAUUCCAAGAAAAACGUCAAAAUUCUGCAUGUAACCUUCAGCAUACUUUGGGACUCACAUUUUUGUUAUUGGAUCCAAUAAGGGAAUUGCCAAGAUCCUACAAUGAACAGUCUCCUUGGUUAGAACAAGGUCCCGCUACCUUCUGCUGUUUCACCAAUAUGAAAGAGACUUCAUAUCAAUCAGGAAAGGCAACUGGAAUGUCUCAGGAGAGGCACAGGAAAAAUCUCCUUUAUGCUCUUCAUGUCCCUGUUUUAGACAUAAUCUCUGCCUUCAGCAUGGAAAUUUAGGCAGUGAAAUCCAGAAUGACAGUAAACAGUUAUUCUUGUGUACUUAAUUAUUUAUUUAUUUAUUUAUUUACGAUGCCUCCUUUUUUCUCAAAAAACUUGAGUGGAGUUCCAUUAAACUUAGAUAACCACUGCUUCAACCAUCAGCAAAUUAUAAGAUUAGAGAUAUACUAAUACAAAUCCUUUUCCUUUAAUCAAGUUUAUGUGUACAAACUGAAAAUCUGAAGAUCUGUGAAAACCUUUUAAUCAACAAAGAAUCUGGGGUGAAACAAUCUCAGACAACAUUUGGCAACACUUAUCUUGUUUUGUUUGUUAUCACUGUGUUGUUCAUAUACACUCAGUCUUGGCAUUCAUUGACAAAGCUGGCACUGGGGUCCAGAGCAACAGAAGGAGGUUCAAAACUGAAUUGCUAAUGUAAAAUCUGUAAUUUAC